AAGUCACACCAUACAUGGGCACGCGUCACAAUAUGAUUGGAGAACGGUUCCACCGCAUAUGCUAUAAAAUGCCCCCACACCCCUCGACCCUAAUCGCACUUCAUUUGCAAUCAAAUUAGUUCAUUCUCUUUGCGCAGUUCCCUACCUCUCCUUUCAAGAUGCAGAUCUUCGUCAAGACCCUCACCGGAAAGACCAUCACCCUUGAGGUGGAAAGCUCUGACACCAUCGACAACGUCAAGGCCAAGAUCCAGGACAAGGAAGGAAUUCCCCCGGAUCAGCAACGUCUCAUCUUCGCCGGAAAGCAGCUCGAGGACGGCCGUACCCUCGCCGACUACAACAUCCAGAAGGAGUCAACCCUUCACCUUGUCCUUCGUCUCCGUGGUGGCAUGCAGAUCUUCGUCAAGACUCUCACUGGCAAAACCAUAACCCUAGAGGUCGAAAGCUCUGACACCAUUGACAACGUCAAGGCCAAGAUCCAGGACAAGGAGGGAAUCCCCCCAGACCAGCAACGUCUCAUCUUCGCCGGAAAGCAACUUGAGGACGGGCGCACCCUCGCCGAUUACAACAUCCAGAAGGAAUCAACCCUUCACCUCGUCCUCCGUCUCCGUGGUGGCAUGCAGAUCUUCGUUAAGACCCUCACCGGCAAGACUAUAACCCUAGAAGUCGAGAGCUCCGACACCAUCGACAACGUCAAGGCUAAGAUCCAGGACAAGGAGGGUAUCCCCCCAGACCAGCAGAGGCUGAUCUUCGCCGGCAAGCAGCUCGAGGACGGACGUACCCUUGCUGACUACAACAUCCAGAAGGAGUCAACUCUCCACUUGGUGUUGCGUCUUCGUGGUGGUAUGCAGAUCUUCGUCAAGACCCUUACGGGUAAGACUAUUACCCUCGAGGUGGAGAGCUCCGACACCAUUGACAAUGUGAAGGCGAAGAUCCAGGACAAGGAAGGAAUCCCACCGGACCAGCAGAGGCUUAUUUUUGCUGGCAAACAGCUAGAGGAUGGAAGGACCCUCGCUGACUACAACAUCCAGAAGGAGUCAACUCUGCACUUGGUGUUGCGUCUUCGUGGGGGGUUUUAAGCUGGAGCUGAUUUCUGUGUGAUGUUCGAUGUUGGAUUUUCCCAAACAUUUUAAGAAGAAAUGUGAUGUGUAAUGGGUCUGUAAUGACCUUUGAAAAUAAGUUUGGUUUGUGUUGAACUCUAUUGUCCCAUUAAUGUUACUACUGUUUGUUAUCAAUUUGUGGAGCUGAUAUAUAAUUAUCAACUGUAUGCUGGCAUAUUGUGUUUGAAUUUUGUUCUCAAUCCAGUGAAUUGGCGUA